rnacentral:rRNA from 1 species
GACGAACGCUGGCGGCGUGCUUAACACAUGCAAGUCGAACGGAAAGGCCCUGCUUUUGUGGGGUGCUCGAGUGGCGAACGGGUGAGUAACACGUGAGUAACCUGCCCUUGACUUUGUGAUAACUUCAGGAAACUUGGGCUAAUACCGGAUAGGAUCUCCUGCUGCAUGGUGGGGGUUGGAAAGUUUCGGCGGUUGGGGAUGGACUCGCGGCUUAUCAGCUUGUUGGUGGGGUAGUGGCUUACCAAGGCUUUGACGGGUAGCCGGCCUGAGAGGGUGACCGGCCACAUUGGGACUGAGAUACGGCCCAGACUCCUACGGGAGGCAGCAGUGGGGAAUAUUGCACAAUGGGCGGAAGCCUGAUGCAGCAACGCCGCGUGCGGGAUGACGGCCUUCGGGUUGUAAACCGCUUUAGCCUGUGACGAAGAGUGAGUGACGGUAAUGGGUAAAGAAGCACCGGCUAACUACGUG